UGUCUCAUGGUGUUAGGUUGAGGCUGGGGGUCGCGGGAUGCCAUGGGGACAGCCUGGCUUGGCUGUCACCCACCACCCCUGCCCUGCCGUGCCAAUGACCAGCUGAAUGUAGCAUGGUUAUGUAUCAAGGGGCUGCUCAGGUCUCAUUUGAUGGGGAGGAAAAAAAAACCCAGAAGGCUGGCAAGGAGGCAGGAGAGGGGUCUUCCACAAGGAGUGGAGGGGGCAGCACAGCUGCAGGGUCCCAGAGAGGCUCUGCUGGGGCAGCUGCUUGGUUUAGAAGAAAAAAGCCCCAAGUGUAGUGCUGGGCCAAGCCAGCAGCUUAUGUAAGAGCUGGCAGCAGGACUGGUGGUGCGGAAACCCAGCGCGCUGCCAGCGGGGUGCAAUCGCCUUUGAUUUUCUCCUGUUUGCUCAGCAGCUUUCAUGCGGUGGGGGAGCGGGGCAAGGGCGCGAGAUUCCUGCACACUGAACUUCUCUGUUUCUCUCGGCAGGAUAAACAGGACAUAAAACAAAGCCCCAAGCCAGCCCUUGCCUCCAAGGCAGCGUGCUGCCAAACCCCCAGCGGGGUGGCGCAUCCCCCCGUGUGCUCCCUAAGGAGCAGCCACCCCAUCUGGGAUGCCGCAGCCUGGGAUGCAGGGAGGUAAUGGGAGCCUACCCAGUGCGGUUUCUGGGCACUGCAGCCACUUUUGCAGCUGGGUGAGGGUUGCCUCUUGGUGUUGGAGGAGCAAGCAGGAGAAAGGGGGCAAAGGUCCCUGGCAGGGCUCAGGCAGCAAGUCCCAUGGUUUCAGAUAGCUGAGGAUGGGUGCUCCAGAAGUGACUCCAGGCUAGACACUGUGCGGACACUGGCUGGGGUGGGUGUCCCCUGCAGAGGUUUUGCUGUGACCUGGCUGCCCCACAAGGCACAGUCCCAGGCAGUGGGACUGAGCCCUCCCUGUCUGAUGUAACAUGAGAUGCAGUGGGGUGAGGAGGCGGUUGAACACUGGUCCUCUCUGUGCAAUGGGCUUGGGGUGGGGUGGCGGGGUUCACAGCUCCCUUAAAGCUGGGCUACUUUAUUUAUAACCCUCCCUAAGGAGUAAUUUCCAGGCUCUCUUGCCCCCAUGCUAGAUGCCUGCCAGUGACAGUGUGAGGGACUGACCUCAGCCCUUUCCCAAUACAACUUAGCUAAUCUGGCUCCCCAGGGAUGCAGCUGUGGGGCCAGACCUCUGCCAUUCCAAGCCCAUGCCAGUUCCCCUGCCUUUCCACAGAGCCACAAUUUCACCACUGCCAGCCUGGUGCAGGGCAAGGUGAGAAGGCAGGGAGCAAACUGCGGUUAAAAUUUCCAAGAGUUUCAAGAGGGGUUUGCUCUGGAGCAAAGUGCUCUGUAACCACCUUGAAAUCACUUGGUUGGGGAAAAGCACUGGCCAAGUGCAAGGCUGCAGCAAAACUCCUAGCAAAUGCUAUUGCUGCUAAAGCAACGUGAAGGGAGGAUGGCUUGGUGCUGCACCUCUGUCCUGCUUGACUGUCCUGCUGGCCAUGGAGGGCAGUGAGCUCCCCUCUCCUCCAAGGCGCUGUCAGUGAGUUAUCCCGAGCUGCCCUGCCCUAGCCCUGCCACGCUCCUUGUGCUGCUGCAUGCAAUGGCAUUGCCGACUUCUGCUCCAAAAAGGAAGAGCUUUGGCAGGGAAAAAGCUGCUUGGGCAGAAAGCUGUUUCCUUGGCUGGGAUUUGGGGGGUCUGAGCCACACACAUAAAAACCCAUUGGAAAUGCAGAGGUAUGCAAGGCAGGUGCUGCCUACUGCAGCACUGGGCCAGGAAAGCCAGGCUGGGGUGGCCUUUGGGGUCCCUUUCUUGUACCCAGAUGGGAAGAACAAGCUGAUGGCUGGAGCUGUACGAGGGCUGGGGUUGGUGAAGGCUUGGGGAGGUGUGUGGGGUUGCCUCCUCAUGCAGCCGCACCAACCUUGGGCAGGAGGGGCUUGAGGAGCACCAUGCCCAGGUGCCUGCUCCAGCUGCCAGUUUGUGGGCGCUGAGCACCCCUGCUAGUGCUGGUAGGCUGCAGAGCUGAGCUGUGCUCCUCUGAAACCAUUGGGAUCUUUGGUGGGGGGGCAGAGAUGCAAACCCUUGGGCCCCUUAUCCAAACCUCUUGGCCUGGGGUUUUGUGAGAGCUGGCUUUCUCAUAGGAUUCCCACUCCAGGCUUGAUGGGUUGGAAAUACUGCAAAAACAGCCCUUUUUCUCUUUUGGUUUGGUUUUUCCCCCUGAUGUUUUUGUCUUUCCACUUCCGUCUCUGGCCAAGGCGAGUGGUGCCAAGGCACAAGAGCCAGGCACACCCAGAGGGAGGGAGAAGCAAAGCACCCUCAACCCACAGGAAAACAGGCACAGAAAGUAAGCACGGUGGCCGGGAGCAAGGAGGAGGGUUUGCUUGUCAGCUCCGGCCAAGGGACAGCCCUCCUCAGGGAGGUCCAUGGACUCAAGGGGAGAGCUGUCGCUGAUUUUAGGACAGAAAGACCAAAAUAUGGCUUCCUGAAGCAUAUGCCAUGCUUAGAGAGGGAGAAGAAUGGUUUCCUUAUCUUCAAGAGAGAGAAAUGCCAUAGCUGGAAGGUCUCCUUUCAUCUCUGACAUCCUCACCAAAGCCUGUCCUCCCAUGCAGAGGACAGCUGUCCUUGCUGCAGAUGGUUUGGCUGCGCAAGAGAAGCCAAAUUGUUAUCCUUCAGGGAAGGCUGCAAGAUCUGCAAUGGGUUUUGAAGAAAGAAAUUAUCUGUAUGUUGUCAGAGGAUGGAAAGAAGAGGUGCCUAGGGCUGCAUCUUCCAGGCUGGCCUCCAAGCUGCUGUCACCUACCCCAUCUUCUCUCUGAUGGCUGCUGGGAAGGUGCCUCACACUGCUGGGUGUCCAAGGUGGACCAGCAGCAGCCCUGCAUGUGUAUGAUGGUGGCAUGGGAUUGCUAAGGUAACUUUUAGAGGGCAAAAGCCCCCCUCAGUUCCAUGCCCUGAACCUUGACUCCUGCAUCCUUCCUUCAGUGUGGCACAGACUUUGUCCAGAGGUACCUCAGAUCCUUGCGCAGGAGGAUGGAGCGGGCAUCUGGCAUGACAAGCUGGGAAAGGAUUUUAUUUCUGCACUUGGGCUCUGGCCUAGAGAAAUCAAUUGGCUUUCACGCGUUUUAAGGAAGAAAAAAAAUCCUUUCCUGCUGCCAUUAAAGUUUUUGUCUCCUG